rnacentral:rRNA from 1 species
AUUGAACGCUGGCGGCAGGCCUAACACAUGCAAGUCGAACGAGUGGCGGACGGGUGAGUGAUGUCUGGGAAACUGCCUGUUGGAGGGGGAUAACUACUGGAAACGGUAGCUAAUACCGCAUACCAUCAGAUGUUCCCAGAUGGGAUUAGCUAGUUGGUGGGGUAACGUAUCACCAAGGCGCCGAUCCCUAGCUGGUCUGAGCGGAUGCCCAGCCACACUGGAAGUGAGACACGGGCCAGACUCAUACGGUAGGCAGUGGUGGGGAAGAGUGCACAAUGGGCGCAAGCGUGAUGCAGCCAUGCCGCGUGUAUGAAGAAGGCCUUCGGGUUGUAAAGGACUUUCAGCGGGGAGGCGUUACCCGCAGAAGAAGCACCGGCUAACUCCGUGCCAGCAGCCGCGGUAAUAC